rnacentral:rRNA from 1 species
AUUGAACGCUGGCGGCAUGCCUUACACAUGCAAGUCGAACGGCAGCACGGGUGCUUGCACCUGGUGGCGAGUGGCGAACGGGUGAGUAAUACAUCGGAACAUGUCCUGUAGUGGGGGAUAGCCCGGCGAAAGCCGGAUUAAUACCGCAUACGAUCUACGGAUGAAAGCGGGGGACCUUCAGGCCUCGCGCUAUAGGGUUGGCCGAUGGCUGAUUAGCUAGUUGGUGGGGUAAAGGCCUACCAAGGCGACGAUCAGUAGCUGGUCUGAGAGGACGACCAGCCACACUGGGACUGAGACACGGCCCAGACUCCUACGGGAGGCAGCAGUGGGGAAUUUUGGACAAUGGGCGAAAGCCUGAUCCAGCAAUGCCGCGUGUGUGAAGAAGGCCUUCGGGUUGUAAAGCACUUUUGUCCGGAAAGAAAUCCUUGGCCCUAAUACGGUCGGGGGAUGACGGUACCGGAAGAAUAAGCACCGGCUAACUACGUG